rnacentral:rRNA from 1 species
AGAGUUUGAUCCUGGCUCAGAAUGAACGCUGGCGGCGUGGAUUAGGCAUGCAAGUCGAGCGCGAAAGCUUGGGAAACUGAGCGAGUAGAGCGGCGACCUGGUGAGUACAAGGUGGGUAACCUACCCCGAAGUGGGGGAUAACUGAUGGAAACAUCAGCUAAUACCGCAUGUGGACCCUGAGGAUUCGUUCUCGGUGUCCAAAGUAGCAAUACGCUUCGGGAUGGGCCCGCCCCCCAUUAGCUAGUUGGUGAGGUAAAAGCUCACCAAGGCUACGAUGGGUAGCUGGUUUGAGAGAAUGGUCAGCCACACUGGGACUGAUAAACGGCCCAGACUCCUACGGGGGGCAGCAGUCUAGAGGCUUCGGCAAUGGGGGAAACCCUGACCGAGCGACGCCGCGUGGAGGAUGACGCCCUUCGGGGUGCAAACUCCUUUCGACCGGAAAGAAAGCCCGGAUGGUGAAUCCGGGACUGACGGUACCGGUGGAAGAAGCCACGGCUAACUCUGUGCCAGCAGCCGCGGUAAGACAGAGGUGGCAAGCGUUAUUCGGAUUUAUUGGGCGUAAAGGGCGCGUAGGCGGCCAAGUGCGUCCGGUGUGAAAACGCUACCGCUCAACGGAGCGAAUGCGCUGGAUACGACUUGGCUUGAGUUCGAGAGAGGUAAGCGGAAUUCCUGGUGUAGCGGUGGAAUGCGUAGAUAUCAGGAAGAACACCUGUGGCGAAGGCGGCUUACUGGCUCGACACUGACGCUGAGGCGCGAAAGCGUGGGGAGCAAACGGGAUUAGAUACCCCGGUAGUCCACGCUGUAAACGGUGAAUACUAGGUGUGGGAGGUAUCGACCCCUUCCGUGCCGCAGUUAACACAAUAAGUAUUCCGCCUGGGGAUUACGGCCGCAAGGUUGAAACUCAAAGGAAUUGACGGAGGCCCGCACAAGCGGUCGAGUAUGUGGUUUAAUUCGACACAACGCGAAGAACCUUACCAGGGCUGGAACACGAGGAAAACCCUGCGAAAGCAGGGCUGGUCGCAAGACCGCCGAAGUGAGGUGCUGCAUGGCUGUCGUCAGCUCGUGUCGUGAGAUGUUGGGUUAAGUCCCGCAACGAGCGCAACCCUUGUCACUAGUUACCAGCGCGUCAUGGCGGGGACUCUAGUGAGACUGCCGGCGUAAGCCGGAGGAAGGUGGGGAUGACGUCAAGUCAUCAUGGCCCUUACGUCCUGGGCUACACACGUACUACAAUGGCUUGGACAACGCGCACCUACAUCGCGAGAUGAAGGAAAUCGCUUAAACCAGGCCUCAGUUCAGAUCGGAGUCUGCAACCCGACUCCGUGAAGUUGGAAUCGCUAGUAAUCGCGGGUCAGCCAUACCGCGGUGAAUACGUUCCCGGGCCUUGUACACACCG